rnacentral:rRNA from 1 species
UACGCAGGGGGCUAGCGUUGUUCGGAUUUACUGGGCGUAAAGCGCACGUAGGCGGAUCGUUAAGUCGGGGGUGAAAUCCUGGAGCUCAACUCCAGAACUGCCUUCGAUACUGGCGAUCUUGAGUCCGGAAGAGGUGAGUGGAACUCCUAGUGUAGAGGUGGAAUUCGUAGAUAUUAGGAAGAACACCAGUGGCGAAGGCGGCUCACUGGUCCGGUACUGACGCUGAGGUGCGAAAGCGUGGGGAGCAAACAGG